AUGGAGAUUGCCUACCCCUACGGCGGGGAGCUCACCAGGAAGCACGGCUUCGUCACAGGCGAGCCUUUUGACGCCAAGACCGGCAUCAUGUCCGGCCAGAAGCGCGCGAGGGAGAUGGAGAUCCUUCGGCAGCGCUUCCAAUCCGAGCUCGUCGCCGUCCGUCGCCUCCUCCACAAGGCGGCCGCCGUGCUAGCUCCCGCAUCAUCCCCGUCGGCUCCCCGCGUCAAGGAGAGUCGUCCAGGGUUCUUGGCCGAGGAGCCGCUGGCCAAGAAGAGGAAGGCGUCCCCUCCCGUUCCUCUGAUCAAGAGCAAGAAGGCGCCCAGGAAGAAGAUGAUGACGGGCUCUGAGAGGGAGAUACUCGCGGAAGACCUGAAGCUGUUCGUUGCGGAGAUCCCCGAUCACGUCGUCGAGCUCUUGAAGAAGCACAGCUGCGCCACCCGCCCCGGCGAAAUCGAGAUCGACGUCCACGCGUUGGAUGACGCCGCCGCCGUCGAGUUACAGGAGCAGGUUGACAAGUUCGCUCGAGAGAGGAGAACGGCGAAUCCGUCGCUGCAAGAACGACACCAAGACGGCCCUAAGGUGAUGGCCCAAGAGGAGGAGGACGACGACGAAGAAGUUGACAUCUGUGGCGGCGUCUCCCCCUUAGCGAUCAUGCCGGCACCUCUGGCCCAAGAACGGCACCAAGACGACCCUAAGGCCAUGGCCGAAGAGGAGGAGGAGGAAGAUGUUGACAUCUGUGGUGGCGUCUCCCCCUUACCGAUAGUGCCGGCACCUCUUCUGCUCGUCGAAGAUGAAACAGCCAGUGGCUGUGGCAGCCCAAGCUCCAGCAGCAGCAGUUCGGAUACUGAUUCUUCCAGCGACAGCGAUUCAGAUACUGAUUCCGGCAGCAGCGACUCCGGCGGCAGUGACUCAGAUUCUGAUUCAGACGAGAUCGUCGACAGCCCAGCUCCUCCAACAUGCGAGCAGCUCGCCCGUGCUCUGGAAAGGCAGCGAAAGGAGGCCACGUCCCGGGCGAGGGAGAAGGCCCGUCAGGAGCUGCUAGAGACGGAGAGGACGGCAAUGCCCGACGAUACCCUACACCCAGAGGAUCUGAAGAGGCUCGGCAUUGAUGAGUACAACACGGCGAGGCCCAACAACUACAACUUGUUGCGGCAGAUUGGACUCUUCCGCAAGCUUGACAACGAUGACUGGAAGCAGCAGCAGCAUUAUCAUCAUCGUCAAAGCUUCGAAGAAGACCUAGAGGAAGGCGAGAUUCGGUCGUGA
rnacentral:rRNA from 1 species